UGGAAACGACUGCUAAGACUGGAUAGGAGACAAGAAGGCAUCUUCUUGUUUUUAAAAGACCUAGCAAUAGGUAUGCUUAGGGAGGAGCUUGCGUCACAUUAGUUAGUUGGUGGGGUAGAGGCCUACCAAGACUAUGAUGUGUAGCCGGGCUGAGAGGUUGAACGGCCACAUUGGGACUGAGACACGGCCCAAACUCCUACGGGAGGCAGCAGUAGGGAAUUUUCGGCAAUGGAGGAAACUCUGACCGAGCAACGCCGCGUGAACGAUGAAGUAUUUCGGUACGUAAAGUUCUUUUAUUAGGGAAGAAUAAAUGAUGGAAAAAUCAUUCUGACGGUACCUAAUGAAUAAGCCCCGGCUAACUAUGUGCCAGCAGCCGCGGUAAUACAUAGGGGGCAAGCGUUAUCCGGAAUUAUUGGGCGUAAAGGGUGCGUAGGCGGUUAAAUAAGUUUGUGGUCUAAGUGCAAUGCUCAACAUUGUGAUGCUAUAAAAACUGUUUAGCUAGAGUAAGAUAGAGGCAAGUGGAAUUCCAUGUGUAGUGGUAAAAUGCGUAAAUAUAUGGAGGAACACCAGUAGCGAAGGCGGCUUGCUGGGUCUUUACUGACGCUGAGGCACGAAAGCGUGGGGAGCAAACAGGAUUAGAUACCCUGGUAGUCCACGCCGUAAACGAUGAGUACUAAACGUUGGUUAAAACCAGUGUUGAAGUUAACACAUUAAGUACUCCGCCUGAGUAGUACGUACGCAAGUAUGAAACUUAAAGGAAUUGACGGGACUCCGCACAAGCGGUGGAUCAUGUUGUUUAAUUCGAAGGUACCCGAAAAACCUCACCAGGUCUUGACAUGCUUCUGCAAAGCUGUAGAAACACAGUGGAGGUUAUCAGUUGCACAGGUGGUGCAUGGUUGUCGUCAGCUCGUGUCGUGAGAUGUUGGGUUAAGUCCCGCAACGAGCGCAACCCUUAUUGUUAGUUACCAGCACGUAAUGGUGGGGACUUUAGCAAGACUGCCAGUGAUAAAUUGGAGGAAGGUGGGGACGACGUCAAAUCAUCAUGCCCCUUAUGACCUGGGCUACAAACGUGAUACAAUGGCUGUUACAAAGGGUAGCUGAAGCGCAAGUUUUUGGCGAAUCUCAAAAAAACAGUCUCAGUUCGGAUUGAAGUCUGCAACUCGACUUCAUGAAGUUGGAAUCGCUAGUAAUCGCGAAUCAGCAUGUCGCGGUGAAUACGUUCUCGGGGUUUGUACACACCGCCCGUCAAAC
rnacentral:rRNA from 1 species